AUGAGUGGUUAACCGAUGAUGA
rnacentral:siRNA from 1 species